AGGAGUGUAGCUCAGUUGGCUAGAGCAGCGGUCUCCAAAACCGCAGGUCGGGGGUUCGAGCCCUCCCACUCCUGCCA
rnacentral:tRNA from 2 species